GCCUGUGUGGUGAAGUGUUUUGAGCAUUGGACUAGGACUCCGGAGACCAAGGCUCGAAUCCCAGCUCAGCCA